CGGCAUGCCUUACACAUGCAAGUCGAACGGCAGCACGGGAGCAAUCCUGGUGGCGAGUGGCGAACGGGUGAGUAAUAUAUCGGAACGUGCCCGGUCGUGGGGGAUAACGUAGCGAAAGCUACGCUAAUACCGCAUACGAUCUACGGAUGAAAGCGGGGGAUCGCAAGACCUCGCGCGAUUGGAGCGGCCGAUAUCAGAUUAGGUAGUUGGUGAGGUAAAGGCUCACCAAGCCGACGAUCUGUAGCUGGUCUGAGAGGACGACCAGCCACACUGGGACUGAGACACGGCCCAGACUCCUACGGGAGGCAGCAGUGGGGAAUUUUGGACAAUGGGCGCAAGCCUGAUCCAGCAAUGCCGCGUGCAGGAUGAAGGCCUUCGGGUUGUAAACUGCUUUGUACGGAACGAAACGGUGAGCUCUAAUACAGUUUGCUAAUGACGGUACCGUAAGAAUAAGCACCGGCUAACUACGUG
rnacentral:rRNA from 1 species